GAUGAACGCUGGCGGCGUGCUUAACACAUGCAAGUCGAACGAAGCACUUUAUUUGAUUUCCUUCGGGACUGAUUAUUUUGUGACUGAGUGGCGGACGGGUGAGUAACGCGUGGGUAACCUGCCUUGUACAGGGGGAUAACAGUUGGAAACGGCUGCUAAUACCGCAUAAGCGCACAGCAUCGCAUGAUGCAGUGUGAAAAACUCCGGUGGUAUAAGAUGGACCCGCGUUGGAUUAGCUAGUUGGUGAGGUAACGGCCCACCAAGGCGACGAUCCAUAGCCGACCUGAGAGGGUGACCGGCCACAUUGGGACUGAGACACGGCCCAAACUCCUACGGGAGGCAGCAGUGGGGAAUAUUGCACAAUGGGCGAAAGCCUGAUGCAGCGACGCCGCGUGAGCGAAGAAGUAUUACGGUAUGUAAAGCUCUAUCAGCAGGGAAGAUAAUGACGGUACCUGACGAAGAAGCACCGGCUAAAUACGUG
rnacentral:rRNA from 1 species